rnacentral:rRNA from 1 species
GACGAACGCUGGCGGCGUGCUUAACACAUGCAAGUCGAACGGAAAGGCCCUGCUUUUGUGGGGUGCUCGAGUGGCGAACGGGUGAGUAACACGUGAGUAACCUGCCCUUGACUUUGGGAUAACUUCAGGAAACUUGGGCUAAUACCGGAUAGGAGCUCCUGCUGCAUGGUGGGGGUUGGAAAGUUUCGGCGGUUGGGGAUGGACUCGCGGCUUAUCAGCUUGUUUGUGGGGUAGUUGCUUACCAAGGCUUUGACGGGUAGCCGGCCUGAGAGGGUGACCGGCCACAUUGGGACUGAGAUACGGACCAGAAUCCUACGGGAGGCAGCAGGGGGGAAUAUUGCACAAUGGGCGGAAGCCUGAUGCAGCAACGCCGCGUGCGGGAUGACGGCCUUCGGGUUGUAAACCGCUUUCGCCUGUGACGAAGCGUGAGUGACGGUAAUGGGUAAAGAAGCACCGGCUAACUACGUG